CAUGUGCCAGCUUCUGUCCCUGGCCCACAGAGUCACCUUGAUAGCUGUGCGCUGCCACAGGGACUGCUGCAGCCUCAGGAUGGUCUAUGCUGUGGGGAGGGCCUGCAGGACUGGGGUCUUUCUGACCUGGAAUGAAUAUAGAGCAUAGGUGGACCUAUUUCCUGCUGCCAGAUUUAAGAAGUUUGCCACAGAAAAUGAGGCCUGGGCCUUUGUCAGGAAAUCUGCAAGCCCAGAAGGUUCAGAAGGGCAGAAAAAUAAACAUGUACAAGAAUCACAAAUGAAAGCCAGCAAGGGACUCUGUGAGCCACUGAAUGGAGAUGGAGAUGAAAGUGCAGAGUCUUGUGCAAAGCCUGUGAAGCAAAUCAUAGAGCCGGCACCUCGAGUGAGCAGAGACAUUUUCUUACAUCGGAGGCUUUGUCGUCGUCUACACUGAUGGCUACUGCUCCAGUAAUGGGUGGAGGAGAGCACUAGUGGGAACUGACGUUUACUGGGGGCCAGGCCAUCCUUUAAAUGUAGGCAUUAGACUUCCUGGGUGACAGACAAACCAAAGAGCAGAAAAUCAUGCAGCCUGCAACACCAUUGAACAAGCAAAGGCUGAAAACAUCAAUAAAUUGGUUCUGUACACAGAUAGUAUGUUUGCUAUAAAUGGUAUAACUAACUGGGUUCAAGGUAGGAAGAAGAACAGGUGGAAGACAAGUACAGGGAAAUAGGUGAUGAACAAAAAGGACUUUGUGGCACUGGAGAAGCUCAGUCAAGGCAUGGACAUUCAGUGGAUACUUGUUCCUGGUCAUCCAGGGUGUAUUGGCAAUGAAGAAGCUGAUAGAUUAGCAAGAGGAGCUAAACAUUCUGAAGACUAA
rnacentral:lncRNA from 1 species